rnacentral:rRNA from 1 species
CAGCCGCGGUAAUACGUAGGGCGCAAGCGUUAUCCGGAAUUAUUGGGCGUAAAGAGCUCGUAGGCGGUUUGUCGCGUCUGCUGUGAAAUCCCGAGGCUCAACCUCGGGCCUGCAGUGGGUACGGGCAGACUAGAGUGCGGUAGGGGAGAUUGGAAUUCCUGGUGUAGCGGUGGAAUGCGCAGAUAUCAGGAGGAACACCGAUGGCGAAGGCAGAUCUCUGGGCCGUAACUGACGCUGAGGAGCGAAAGGGUGGGGAGCAAACAGGCUUAGAUACCCUGGUAGUCCACCCCGUAAACGUUGGGAACUAGUUGUGGGGACCAUUCCACGGUUUCCGUGACGCAGCUAACGCAUUAAGUUCCCCGCCUGGGGAGUACGGCCGCAAGGCUAAAACUCAAAGGAAUUGACGGGGACCCGCACAAGCGGCGGAGCAUGCGGAUUAAUUCGAUGCAACGCGAAGAACCUUACCAAGGCUUGACAUACACCAGAACACCGUAGAAAUACGGGACUCUUUGGACACUGGUGAACAGGUGGUGCAUGGUUGUCGUCAGCUCGUGUCGUGAGAUGUUGGGUUAAGUCCCGCAACGAGCGCAACCCUCGUUCUAUGUUGCCAGCACGUAAUGGUGGGAACUCAUGGGAUACUGCCGGGGUCAACUCGGAGGAAGGUGGGGAUGACGUCAAAUCAUCAUGCCCCUUAUGUCUUGGGCUUCACGCAUGCUACAAUGGCCGGUACAAANGGCUGCAAUACCGUGAGGUGGAGCGAAUCCCAAAAA